UUUCUUGUGUAAUAUUUGGAAGGCUCCCAAUGAUAGCGAAAACAUCAUCUUUCAGCAACACAGACAUAUACAGACUGAACAACAGCAACAGAAGAAGGAAGAGGAGGAGGAGGGAGAGAAGGACAAAGAGGAGGAGAAGAAAGGGAGGAAGAAGGAGAAAAAGAAGAAUCUUCAUUGUUUUCAUCAUCACCAUGACAUUUCCAUUUUACAUGAUGUAGCAUUGAAAAGAUAUUGGCCUACUACCCAUUGCCACCCCCCUAACCCUUCCAUCCCCGCCUUCAAGCAAAGAUGCACAUUACCUAAAGUUAGGGAUCAGAAAAGCAAAAAGACAGAAAAAAAAAAAAGGUAAGUUCUCUUUGGAUUUUGUGUUCACUUUGUAAAAUUUGGUUAUAAAUUUAAAAUGUGUGAGAAAAGAAUGGGCAAAACACUGGAACUUUCCCAGGAAAUACUAUCCGCCCCCCAAAAUGCCUUGGAUUUAGAUAAACUGAAAGUUGAAUCUUAGAGAGGCAUCUGGCAAUCCACCACUGCAUGCAAGCCAGAGAAACUAUCAAGACACCACAGAGGAAAUGGAUGUAUGCAGAAUCCAAAGGCAGAAGCCAUAUGAAGCCUGGUAGAGAUUCCUGAGUUAUUGCUAUAGAGACCACUCUCUCAUCCCUCUCAGAUAAUUACUGCUACUUAUUUUCAGAACUUAAUUACACUAUGACUUCUUCAUAAAUGCCCUCUGUUAUAUGCUCUCAAGCACU